rnacentral:rRNA from 1 species
CAGCCGCCGCGGUAAUACGAAGGGGGCUAGCGUUGCUCGGAAUGACUGGGCGUAAAGGGCGCGUAGGCGGUUUAUACAGUCAGAUGUGAAAUUCCUGGGCUCAACCUGGGGACUGCAUUUGAUACGUAUGGACUUGAGUGGAGAAGGGGGUCGUGGAAUUUCCAGUGUAGAGGUGAAAUUCGUAGAUAUUGGAAAGAACACCGGUGGCGAAGGCGGCGACCUGGUCUUUAACUGACGCUGAGGCGCGAAAGCGUGGGGAGCAAACAGGAUUAGAUACCCGAGUAGUCCCUGUCUCUUAUAA